GAACGCAUAUUGCACUUUCUGGUAUUCCGGAAAGUAUGCCUGUUUGAGGGUCAGUUAAAUAAAAAUCGGUGUUGUUGCUGCCUUUCGUGGUGACGCGUCGGAAUUGAGUUGUCUUACCUUCGGUUAAGUGACUUAAAAUUUUGUAUGAUUUUCGAACGUAUUUAAAUUUAUUUGAACGUUUGAUAUCGAAUGCUUAUUAGGUUCGGUUAUCCUCAUGACUCGCGCCUAUAAUUUUUCAUUAAAUGACCUCAAAUCAGGUAAGAAUACCCGCUGAACUUAAGC
rnacentral:misc_RNA from 1 species